GCGGCCAUGACCCUGCUGGAGUGCGGGGGAGACCUCCAGCCCCCCGGGGGGUCCCUGCGCCUCCUCUGCCGAGGGUCCGGGUUCGAUUUUGGCAGUUCUGACUUUGAAUGGAUCCGCCAGAGACCUGGGCAGGGACUGGAAUACGUCGCCUAUAUCAACACUGGCAGCACCACCUGGUACGCGUCGUCGGUGCAGGGCCGGUUCAGGAUCUCCAGGGACAACGGGCAGAGCUCGGUGACGCUGACCAUGAAGAACCUCAAGGACGAGGAUUCCGCCGUUUAUUUCUGCGGGAAAUCUGCCUAUAGUAGUUGGGUUGCUGCUGUCUAUGACUUUGACCAUGGCCCAAUCCCUGUGUCCCCAUCUGUUCCUGUUUUCCAGACCUUUCCCCCACACCCCAGCCCCUGA